CCGAGCCGAGAAGCUCCAGCUGCUACUGAGCGUUCACAUUACUGUAAUCAAGCCCCCGUUGGCACCGGCGACACUGUUCCUCUUCACCUCCUCCGCGCUUCAGAAUCAUCUUGCAUUACUAGAAAGGGCGCUGUAAACCAUGCCUCAGCUUAAAUAGGAAUUCUGGUGCAGAGCCUCCAUCAGCAGCACUCUCAUCACUGACCUAUUACUCUGCAGGGCGUGUCACAAGGGGAAUGAAUGGGCACCAGCAACUACAGCUGCAGUCUUGCCUGCAAUAUUUCACUCCUCCUACUCAGCAACCACCAUCACUACACCCUCCCUCCAACCACCAACCCCUCAUCCUCGCCUGCUACUCUGCAUGAAUAAUGCAGGGGGCCUCCUCGAUAGUCGCUACCAACAUGCCAUGGCAUGUUUUAUUCACACCAAAGUCAGACAGAUCUCCCCUCGCCACUGCCUAGAUCCGUGGGCCGCCUGCCUGCCUGCCUGCCUGCCUUCCUGUCCACCAUCCUCCAAGACGUCAGUGUGUCUGCUUGCUCCGUCUCCUUGACCCUCACAUCUGUGCAGAGGACAGAGAACACAGUUUUUAAUGGAAGCACAGAGCUGGUAGAAAAAGUAAAUAUUUGCAUUUAAUUCUGGACCCUGUCACAUCCUGCUGAAAAUAAA